rnacentral:rRNA from 1 species
GAUGAACGCUGGCGGCGUGCCUAAUACAUGCAAGUCGAGCGAACAGACGAGGAGCUUGCUCCUCUGACGUUAGCGGCGGACGGGUGAGUAACACGUGGAUAACCUACCUCUAAGACUGGGAUAACUUCGGGAAACCGGAGCUAAUACCGGAUAAUAUAUUGAACCGCAUGGUUCAAUAGUGAAAGACGGUUUUGCUGUCACUUAUAGAUGGAUCCGCGCCGCAUUAGCUAGUUGGUAAGGUAACGGCGUACCAAGGCAACGAUGCGUAGCCGACCUGAGAGGAUGAUCAGCCACACUAGAAGUGGGACAGGGGCCGAACGACUAGGGGACGCAGCAGUAUGCAAUCUUCCGCAAGGGGCGAAAGCCUUACGGAGCAACGCCGCGUGAGUGAUGAAGGUCUUCGGAGCGUAAAACCGUGUUAUUAGGGAAGAACAAAUGUGUAAGUAGCCAUGCACGUCUUGACGGUACCAAAUCAGAAAGCCACGGCUAACUUCGUG